GGACAACAGUUGGAAACGACUGCUAAUACCGCAUAAGCGCACAGCUUCGCAUGAAGCAGUGUGAAAAACUCCGGUGGUACAAGAUGGACCCGCGUCUGAUUAGCUGGUUGGUGAGGUAACGGCCCACCAAGGCGACGAUCAGUAGCCGGCCUGAGAGGGUGAACGGCCACAUUGGGACUGAGACACGGCCCAAACUCCUACGGGAGGCAGCAGUGGGGAAUAUUGCACAAUGGGGGAAACCCUGAUGCAGCAACGCCGCGUGAGUGAAGAAGUAUUUCGGUAUGUAAAGCUCUAUCAGCAGGAAAGAAAAUGACGGUACCUGACUAAGAAGCCCCGGCUAACUACGUGCCAGCAGCCGCGGUAAUACGUAGGGGGCAAGCGUUAUCCGGAUUUACUGGGUGUAAAGGGAGCGUAGACGGUUUUGCAAGUCUGAAGUGAAAGCCCGGGGCUUAACCCCGGGACUGCUUUGGAAACUGUAGAACUAGAGUGCAGGAGAGGUAAGUGGAAUUCCUAGUGUAGCGGUGAAAUGCGUAGAUAUUAGGAGGAACACCAGUGGCGAAGGCGGCUUACUGGACUGUAACUGACGUUGAGGCUCGAAAGCGUGGGGAGCAAACAGGAUUAGAUACCCUGGUAGUCCACGCCGUAAACG
rnacentral:rRNA from 1 species